AAAUGCUAUCUGGAAGAAGGGAAACAUAAUCCCUCUGGGAAUUAUAUCAUAUACUUUUCUGCUUGUUCCCUCUUCAGGUAUGCAUAAAGCAUUUCGAACAGGAUUUCGCCCAAUUUAGGGACAAUAACUGUUUGGACGAUGUUAGAUAAGAAUCCUUCUUCUUAGGUACUUGUAGUGGAGGUUAAUGUUUUAUUGACAUGUGGGGUACUGCCUUCUGAACGAAUUGUGGGGCUUCAGUUGCAGGACCUAUAGGAAAUCCUGCAAGUUAAAAGAAUUUGUAGAGAGAAAAAUAAAGAUCAGAGAGAGGAAGGAGGCUUCACAGAAAAAGUACUCACAUGCACACAUUGGCUGUUCUUUGACCGUUUUGAGCAUCAGAUAUGUGAAAGUUUGCAGAUUGUAUCCCUUUAAUGUCUAAAUUUUUUUUAAUGGAAGUGGAUUCCAUACUUUAAUUGUUUAAUAACUACUUGGUUGAAACCCAAAACUGUCACACAAGAAUAGUGCCUGACAUUUCUUUAAAGAAUCAACUAAACAAUGCUGACAAUUAAAGCUACUUCCACAAUCCAACGUAUGCAAUAGUUGUUUAUAUUUGACGGUUAUGCAAGGUUAAUAUUGCCUCACACUGAUGCAAGUUGUUGACUUUUUCAGUAACGUAAUAAUAGUUCUUUUGCAACUUCUUGUUUAAGGUGUUGUUAUUCUUUUAGCAAACUUCCCUGGAGAUUCUUUUUAUGGUCUACACAAAAGAUAUUAUUGUAUUCAUCUAUUUCUUUUUCUUUUUUGUUUUCUAUGUAUAUGACUUGUUUCGUAGCACUUUCAUUUACACUUUUUUAAUCUUUUUCCUUUUUUGUUUCUCCAGAGUAGCCCUUAAAAUGAAGAGGCUGGUAUAUCCAUUAGGAGCAUGUUUUGAAUUAAAUUGGUCAGUUAAAGAUGUGGCAAAAUUUCCUUGGCACAUCGGAGUAUUUGCUUCAUGGCAACAUCUGUCAAAUGAUGCUUCUCAUUGCAUGGACAAAAUUUUGAAACCUUUUGAUGGGUUUUGAGAGACAAUUAUGAAUGGGACCUACUGCUGCUCCAAAAUGCAAGCAAAUAAACUUUAUUCUUCUCAUUAGCUUAAUAUUAUCUAGAAGUGUCCAAAAAUUUUGAAAUAGAUGAUCAAAAUUUUCAGUUGUUGUAUAUAUCUGCUGGAGCAUACGACUUGAUUGAGAGUGAUAAUCUGUUUUAUAUUCAUCUGUGCUAACAUGAGGUCAGGUCUUGCCUUGGUUACAGUUUACCAUUUUAACCAUAUCAGGAAAGAUGAUUUAGUAUCUCCAGUUGAAGCAGGAUGGAUUACUCAUCUAUGAAGUUCUAAGUACUGUGAGCAGGUAUGCAAAGGGCUCUGUUCCAAGGUGCAAUACACGGCAUGUGAUUUUUGUCUGGUGGGCUACCAUCUAGCAACGCAAUGUUUUUUAUGUCCACAACUGUGCACCCAAGUUACAUUGAAACUAUAGGAGACACUAGGUCACAAGAGGCAAGAGUACGUUAGACAGCAAAGCAGAACUGUAUGAUAACAUUAAUCUUGAAUUCUUGGCCAUGACCUCACUAAGCAAGCAUGUCACAAGCUCCAGUUGUUGAAGUUUGCAACUUCCUCUUAUUUUUUCUUAUGGGGUCUUCAUUUAUUUUGAUAUGGAUCUGAUGAUGUUGUAGUUGCAUGCUUAUACCUAAAUGUGCAAGUUGCAUUAUGGCAUGGUAAAAAUAAAUAUAUGGUUUCACAUGGUCCAUUUUUAUUUCAUUUUGUGGAAUCAACCACUGCAGAAAGAUUAAUUCUUCCAGUCUUAUGGAGAAGUAUAAGUAGAAUAGUUCUAAACUCAUUGGAAAUUUUGGGUUGCAGGAUAGUAAAUAUAAGUUAAUUGAAGCCAUUGAACUUGUGUUGAUAGAGUCCCGCUCCCCCACUGUAGUAAUUCUGCUACACUAGUUUGGCAGGUCAGCAUGAUGUAUAAAGUUGUCCUGAGCUUGGUCUCUUGCCUUUAUCGGCUUCCUUACAAGCAUCUGAGUACCAUUGUUCUGUAGAAUGACCAGCAUUUUGUUUCCUUGUUAUCUUCUUCUAAGUAAUUCAACAUGUAAUGACAGUAGAAUUUGGUUAUUGCUGGGGGCUCUUAAAACUGGUUUUAAUUCUAUAUGGAUGCAGAAGAGAAGUUCAUCUUGUAUUCAUGCUAACUCAUCGGCAAUGCAAGAGCAGCACAGUGGAUGGAGGGGACAGAAAGGAGACAAAACUUGAUAAUGAGUUUGACCCCAACGCAAAAAAGAAAUGCGGAAAUUCUCUAAUUUCAUGGUCAAGACAAACAAGCCAUCAUCGGCUUUUAUCUGUAAAUGUUGCUUUACCUCUCUCAUGGAGGCACGUGACUGGACCACGUGGAUCGAGGUUGGUGUCCAACCAUCCAAGUCAGCGCUCGCGACUGGCAACAACAACUGUGAAAAUCUAUUUAUUUAUUUUUCGAAGAAAAGAAAGCCUCUCUCUUUAGCUUUCUCGUGAGGUCAUGACUAAUGAAUCAUGAUCCUUAACGUGGGCCCUAUCCGAUUGUUGUAAUGUUAUCGGCACCACCUUCGUACCAUAUACACAGGCCCUUCCUGGUGUGCUUGGCUCAGGGUCCCUAAGGCCUGGACUGGGUUGAGCUUUGUUCUGGCCCAUGAUCACCGCAUUUCGGAAGCCUAGUAGAAUGGGGGUAGUAGUUGUUGACAGACCUUCAACUAUUGUAUCAUCAAACAGCUGAUAUUCACCCCAAGACUUUGUACUUAACCUAAUCCAAAAGAUUGAGGAAUGUAUAACAACGAUCAGGAAUCAGGUAAUCGCGACACUCGCAAUUAUCCUUAAAAACUUAUCCGACCUCUGAACAUAUCCAUGGCACCGAUUUGGCUA